rnacentral:rRNA from 1 species
AUUGAACGCUGGCGGCAGGCCUAACACAUGCAAGUCGAACGGUAACAGGAAACAGCUUGCUGUUUCGCUGACGAGUGGCGGACGGGUGAGCAAUGUCUGGGAAACUGCCUGAUGGAGGGGGAUAACUACUGGAAACGGUAGCUAAUACCGCAUAACGUCGCAAGACCAAAGAGGGGGACCUUCGGGCCUCUUGCCAUCGGAUGUGCCCAGAUGGGAUUAGCUAGUAGGUGGGGUAACGGCUCACCUAGGCGACGAUCCCUAGCUGGUCUGAGAGGAUGACCAGCCACACUGGAACUGAGACACGGUCCAGACUCCUACGGGAGGCAGCAGUGGGGAAUAUUGCACAAUGGGCGCAAGCCUGAUGCAGCCAUGCCGCGUGUAUGAAGAAGGCCUUCGGGUUGUAAAGUACUUUCAGCGGGGAGGAAGGGAGUAAAGUUAAUACCUUUGCUCAUUGACGUUACCCGCAGAAGAAGCACCGGCUAACUCCGUG